UACGGAGGGUGCGAGCGUUAAUCGGAUUUACUGGGCGUAAAGCGUGCGUAGGCGGCUUUUUAAGUCGGAUGUGAAAUCCCCGAGCUUAACUUGGGAAUUGCAUUUGAUACUGGGAAGCUAGAGUAUUGGAGAGGAGAGUAGAAUUCCAGGUGUAGCGGUGAAAUGCGUAGAGAUCUGGAGGAACACCGGUGGCGAAGGCAGCUAUCUGGCCUAAAACUGACGCUGAGGUACGAAAGCAUGGGGAGCAAACAGG
rnacentral:misc_RNA from 1 species